GCGCCCGUAGCUCAGUGGAUAGAGCAUCUGGCUUCGAACCAGAGGGUCGGGAGUUCGAAUCUCUCCGGGCGUGCCA
rnacentral:tRNA from 1 species